AGAUUGAACGCUUAGCGGCAUGCCUAACACAUGCAAGUCGAACGGGUAACAGGCCCUCGGGGUGCUGACGAGUGGCGGACGGGUGAGUAAUGCGUAGGAAUCUACCCACGAGUGGGGGAUAGCCCGGAGAAAUCCGGAUUAAUUACCGCAUAUGCCCUACGGGGUAAAGCGGGGGAUCGUAAGACCUCGCGCUGGUGGAUGAGCCUACGUCCGAUUAGUUAGUUGGUGGGUAAAGGCCUACCAAGGUCUACGAUCGGUAGCUGGUCUGAGAGGACGACCUAGCCACGACUGGACUGAGACACGGCCCAGACUCCUACGGGAGGCAGC
rnacentral:rRNA from 1 species